AAUAGAUACCCUGGUAGUCCACGCUGUAAACGAUGAGGACUAGAUGUUGGUAGGGGAACCUAUCGGUAUCGAAGCAAACGCGAUAAGUCUUCCGCCUGGGAAGUACGGCCGCAAGGUUGAAACUCAAAUGAAUUGACGGGGGCCCGCACAAGCGGUGGAGCAUGUGGUUUAAUUCGAUGCAACGCGAAGAACCUUACCUACCCUUGACAUCCUAGGAACCCUGCAGAGACGUAGGGGUGCCGAAAGGAACCUAGAGACAGGUGCUGCAUGGCUGUCGUCAGCUCGUGUUGUGAGAUGUUGGGUUAAGUCCCGUAACGAGCGCAACCCUUGCCCUUAGUUGCCAGCAUUAAGUUGGGGACUCUAAGGGGACUGCCGGUGAUGAACCGGAGGAAGGCGGGGACGACGUCAAGUCAUCAUGGCCUUUAUGGGUAGGGCUACACACGUGCUACAAUGGGGCGUACAGAGGGUAGCCAACCCGCGAGGGGGAGCCAAUCUCAGAAAGCGUCUCGUAGUCCAGAUUGGAGUCCGCAACUCGACUCCAUG
rnacentral:rRNA from 1 species